UAUAGGCUACGCGGUCGCGUAUCUUAUACGCGUACGCGUAUCGCAUACAGAGACGCGCUAAUUAUACCGCUGGUCGUGAAGUAUACGCAGACGCGUAAACGAUACGCGGAAAUUUUAUUCCUGUUGUAUAAAUAGAGGGGGGUCGAUACGAUGAUACCUCACUCUAUCUACAUUUCAAAUCGCGAAGAGAGGGCGGAAAGAAAGAGGGCAGAGGCGAUGGAGCCACAGACCGUAAGCGAGCCAAACCCUAACGUCCACAUUCGGAGUCUUUGUAGGAUCAAAGGCGAAGGUGCUCAAACCCUAGAGGGCCAAACCCUAAUGUCGACAUAGAAGAAGAGGAUCGGUAAUUCUUUUCCCCGUUUAAGUGUUUGUGUGAGAGACAAUCGCUUACUUGAAAUUUUUACUCUUUAUGCAAAUUGCAAGUGCGUCCUUUAAAUCUCGCGGCUUUCCCCCUAGUUUAUGUGAUUGUAUCUAUAUGUACCGAGGUCGGUGAUUUUUUUUUCAUGAUACGUUGCAAAGGCAUUACAUUGAGGCAUUUUAUCAAGCAUCUGGCUUUUUUUUUUCCCUUUAAUACCGGGGAAAAGAAAUCCUCCCUUCAUUAGGGUUUUUGUAGGAUCAGAGACGAAGGAGCCAAAACCCUAGCGACUAGCAAUCAAAACCCCAAUGUUUGUUGGUGUAAGAGGAGGAUUGGAAAUUCGUUCUCCCUUUUCGUUUUUGCGUUACAGGAUGUGUUUUCCCUUUAUCAAUAUCUGGAGAAUGUGUAGCAAUAUAAAAAGAAGAGCUUGUUGCUUCAUCAUUAUUGUGAAUGGUUACUGUUCAUGCCUAUGAUGGAAAUUUCCACACAUUAGUACUAUUUGAUCCAGAUCUCGAUGAUGAAAACCUAGAAGCAGAGAGACUAAAUCAUUUUCAUGGUUCAUGCUGCACUGUCUGUGGAAGGUACUAAUGAGAUUGGAAGUGUUACGUACUCAUCAUAGCAAUUGAUUGUGGAUAAAUGAUAAGUGAGCUUUUUCCGUGGCGUGUUAAGAUUAUAAACUAGGAUUUUAAGUUUAUCGAUAACAUCCGGAGAGAAUAGGUCACCUACUUCUGUGGAGAACUGUAUGUGGCUCUAGUCAUAGCUCAAGACAUUCUUUCUCAAGUUUAGGAGUAAAUUAUUUACUCAAUAUUCCUUUCAUUUUAUUUGCUUUUUUUAAGCUACCGUGUACAUUUUCUUUCAUUACAGAAGCAUCUCAGCAACAAACGGUCAAUUUCUUUACCAAAUAAAGUAAACAAAAGCAGCUGUCAAUGAGAUUUAGCUCCAUUGAGAAGGUCUUAUCAAGAAUGCAUAUAUUCCAAUAGGAAGCAGGUGCUACUGUUUCUGUUAGGGGGGGUUAUUCAUUGGUGUAAUUUUGGGGAUAAUGGGAUAAUUUUUGGAACAACAAUAUUUGGUGUUAUUCAUUGGGGUAUUUGGAACUGGAACCACCUUUAUGGUGUUAUUGGUUUGUUGGGAUAAAUGAGGGACAAAUACCCCACUUUCCUCCAAAUUACCCCAACUAUAUAAGCACUCCUCACCCCCACCCUCCAAAUUUACCCCACUUUUUUCCCUGGAACAAGAGGGGAACAGAAUUACCUCACUUCCGUUCUCAAGCUCCAUUGUCGCCGUGCUCGAGCUCGAUCGCCGCUCCGCCUUUGUCGUUCCGAAGCAGGGAUUUCCCCACCGCCAUCUCCUCCGCCUCCUCCUCCGCCUCCAUCCGCCGCGGGAAGUACACCGGAGCUGUGCACUGCUGCUUUUUGAGGACGCCGACUAAUUUCUCAACAAUUUACAACUAAGGGCAUUUCUACACCUGUCCAUUGAUUUUGAGCUUGUAUGGGUUAAUGGGUAGCUGUUUUAAUUUCUACUGAAGUCCAUUGAUCGAGGGGGGGAAAAAUCUACGUUUUGUGGUGAGUAGUUCUCUGUUUCUAUUGGGUUGGAACUAAUGUACUGGAAGAUGAUCAAAACAAUGAAGCUGAAGAACCUGGUUCUUUACCAAGUGAACCUGAUCGCUGUCCUGGUGCUCUUGUCCCCGAGAGGCUCAAUGUGACUUACUUGAUAAUUAUUUGGAGGAACUGUAAUUUACGCAAAGUUGCUGAGCAUUUUCUUUUAGUAUAGAUAAGUCAUGAUUGCUGCAUAGAGCUUGGUUGCUUCUCAUGUUGUUGAUAAAGUCAAUAGUUAAGAGGAAAUUUCUUGGCACAAAGAUGACAGUUAUAUGGCCUUGUUUCGGUCUGAAUACAUCAAAAGUUCACACGUUAGAGGGCUGUGUAGCUUGCAAAGCUUUACUGCUUUAUAUGGUUACCUUGUAUUUAUAGAGUUCUCUACGACCCAGAGCAUUCGGAUGGACAUUGUAUAUAUGUUUAUAAAUUCUUUGUAAUUCUUAACUUCAAUGUAAUCGCUAUUGUUUUGUUCAUGAAAGGGUAGGGCAUUCAGAUGUUGGAUCCUUCCAUAAGCCUGAGGAUUCAAAUUGUAGCUUAUUUGUGUUGUAAUUUUUUAAGGAAACAAUUUUCCUAAAAAGUGUUAGCUAGUUUAGUCUCACAUUUGAUUACGUAUUUGUAGC